rnacentral:misc_RNA from 1 species
UGGAGCUACAAUGCAAUCGUAUCUCGGCCAACCGGUCUCUGGAGUUCCGAUGCAAUCUUAUGGCCAGCCGGCAUCUGGAGCUCCGAUGCAAUCGUAUCCCGGGCAGCCGCAACCCUACCCUGGGCCGCCGCCGGCUUCUGGCCAUCCGGCACAACUGUAUUCUGGCCCGCCGCAACAGUUCCCCGGGACGUCAGCCACACAACCGUACCCAGGCCCGCCGCAACAGUACUCCGGCACUCCCGGUGCUCCUCCAUUCGGGUCACCGCCCCCGCCGCCGACCUCUGGUGCCCCCUUCAACCAACCUCCAUGGCAGUCGCAGUCCCGCCAGGGAGUUCCAUUGAUG